GAUGAACGCUGGCGGCGUGCCUAAUACAUGCAAGUCGAGCGAACGGACGAGAAGCUUGCUUUUCUGAUGUUAGCGGCGGACGGGUGAGUAACACGUGGAUAACCUACCUAUAAGACUGGGAUAACUUCGGGAAACCGGAGCUAAUACCGGAUAAUAUUUUGAACCGCAUGGUUCAAAAGUGAAAGACGGUCUUGCUGUCACUUAUAGAUGGAUCCGCGCUGCAUUAGCUAGUUGGUAAGGUAACGGCUUACCAAGGCAACGAUGCAUAGCCGACCUGAGAGGGUGAUCGGCCACACUGGAACUGAGACACGGUCCAGACUCCUACGGGAGGCAGCAGUAGGGAAUCUUCCGCAAUGGGCGAAAGCCUGACGGAGCAACGCCGCGUGAGUGAUGAAGGUCUUAGGAUCGUAAAACUCUGUUAUUAGGGAAGAACAUAUGUGUAAGUAACUGUGCACAUCUUGACGGUACCUAAUCAGAAAGCCACGGCUAACUACGUG
rnacentral:rRNA from 1 species